rnacentral:rRNA from 2 species
UGGGGAAUUUUGCACAAUGGGGGAAACCCUGAUGCAGCGACGCCGCGUGAUUUAGAAGGCCUUCGGGUUGUAAAAAUCUUUUGUAUGGGAAGAAAAUGACAGUACCAUACGAAUAAGGACCGGCUAAUUACGUGCCAGCAGCCGCGGUAAUACGUAAGGUCCGAGCGUUGUCCGGAAUCAUUGGGCGUAAAGGGUACGUAGGCGGAUAAGCAAGUUAGAAGUUAAAUCCUAUAGCUCAACUAUAGCAAGCUUUUAAAACUGCUCAUCUUGAGGUAUGGAAGGGAAAGUGGAAUUCCUAGUGUAGCGGUGAAAUGCGCAGAUAUUAGGAGGAAUACCGGUGGCGAAGGCGACUUUCUGGCCAUAAACUGACGCUGAGGUACGAAAGCGUGGGUAGCAAACAGG